rnacentral:rRNA from 1 species
GAUCCUGGCUCAGGAUGAACGCUAGCUACAGGCUUAACACAUGCAAGUCGAGGGGCAGCAUGAUCAAAGCUUGCUUUGAUUGAUGGCGACCGGCGCACGGGUGAGUAACGCGUAUCCAACCUUCCCCUUAGUAGGGCAUAGCCCGUAGAAAUGCGGAGUUAAUACCCUAUGUUGUUCGUAGAGGACAUCUGAAAUGAACCAAAGGUUUACCGCUAAGGGAUGGGGAUGCGUCUGAUUAGGUAGUCGGCGGGGUAACGGCCCACCGAGCCCUCGAUCAGUAGGGGUUCUGAGAGGAAGGUCCCCCCACAUUGGAACUGAGACACGGUCCAAACUCCUACGGGAGGCAGCAGUGAGGAAUAUUGGUCAAUGGACGAGAGUCUGAACCAGCCAAGUAGCGUGCAGGAAGACGGCCCUAUGGGUUGUAAACUGCUUUUAUGCGGGGAUAAAGUACACUACGUGUAGUGUUUUGUAGGUACCGCAUGAAUAAGGACCGGCUAAUUCCGUGCC